rnacentral:rRNA from 1 species
CCUACGGGUGGCAGCAGUGAGGAAUAUUGGUCAAUGGGCGUAAGCCUGAACCAGCCAAGUCGCGUGAGGGAUGAAGGUUCUCUGGAUCGUAAACCUCUUUUGUAAGGGAAUAAAGUGUGGGACGUGUCCUGUUUUGUAUGUACCUUAUGAAUAAGGAUCGGCUAACUCCGUGCCAGCAGCCGCGGUAAUACGGAGGAUCCGAGCGUUAUCCGGAUUUAUUGGGUUUAAAGGGUGGGUAGGCGGCCGGUUAAGUCAGCGGUGAAAGUCUGUGGCUCAACCAUGGAAUUGCCGUUGAAACUGGGAGGCUUGAGUGUGUGUGAGGCAGGCGGAAUGCGUGGUGUAGCGGUGAAAGGCUUAGAUAUCACGCAGAACCCCGAUUGCGAAGGCAGCCUGCCAAGCCAUGACUGACGCUGAUGCACGAAAGCGUGGGGAUCAAACAGGAUUAGAUACCCCUGUAGUC